ACAUUUGCGCGUGUCCAAGACGUGCACGUCAUUUUUGCCGUGGACGUGAAGCAUACUCCAAUUUCUGCUGUCCUGAAUGCGCGUUAAAUUGUUAAGGUUAGCGCCUGCGCACUACGGAUUAACUGUGAUACUCUGCCCCACCAACUGGGGGCGGUACGUCGAGCCUGAAAGUAGGACACAACCACCAAAGAAGCCUGAAACGCCUGAAGAAAAGAAGAACUUGGGAUGUGCGAGCACUAAACGAAGGAAGAGCUGAUGAAGGAAAAAGCACCACGAGAACGUUCGCCUGUCUGCUGGGAAGUUUGAUAAGCUGGCCCAUCGCAUCGCUCCAUUUAUCAUCCACCAGAACACACACAGCACACCUGUUGGUAUAGCUGAGAGACUAGCUUAGCCUACUUGCUUAUUAGGCUACUCAUGUAGCUAAGUGACUCGGUGCUGCGAGGGCAGCAAUAUUGGUGCGAUACAAAGUAAAGACAUUUUUCUGAACACAUGCAGCAGUGUCAUGUGUGUCCCCAUGAAACGCAAAAAGAAGGAAAGGGAGUCCUCAUCAAAAAAAAUUCUAAUGGAAUACUACGCCGGUCUGGGAAAGUCCUCUGGCGAUUCAGGAAGUGAACUCGUAAUGGUUUUCAGCGCAAAUCGUGCAGCCCUACUCAUCAGACCAACUCAUCCUUUUUUCUCUCUCUAGGAUUCAGCUACAAUCAAUAGCAUAUCACACCAGCUUGAUGAGAUCUACAAUAUAUUAAUUGAUAUGAACCAUAGAAUUAGCAGGCUGGAGAAACAUAUAAUUACAAACCACAAAACGCCUAUGCCAGCAGGAGCGUCAGUACCACCAACAGUGCAACACCCACUGGCUGCACCAACAACACCAGUGCACCAACCAGCACCACCAGCACCAGUGCGCCA